CCUACGGGGGGCAGCAGUGAGGAAUAUUGGUCAAUGGGCGUAAGCCUGAACCAGCCAAGUCGCGUGAGGGAUGAAGGUUCUAUGGAUCGUAAACCUCUUUUAUAAGGGAAUAAAGUGUGGGACGUGUCCUAUUUUGUAUGUACCUUAUGAAUAAGGAUCGGCUAACUCCGUGCCAGCAGCCGCGGUAAUACGGAGGAUCCGAGCGUUAUCCGGAUUUAUUGGGUUUAAAGGGUGCGUAGGCGGCCUCUUAAGUCAGCGGUGAAAGUCUGUGGCUCAACCAUAGAAUUGCCGUUGAAACUGGGGGGCUGGAGGGUAGUUGAGGGAGGCGGAAUGCGUGGUGUAGCGGUGAAAUGCUUAGAUAUCACGCAGAACCCCGAUUGCGAAGGCAGCCUACCGGGCCGUGACUGACGCUGAUGCUCGAAAGCGUGGGGAUCAAACAGGAUUAGAUACCCGAGUAGUC
rnacentral:rRNA from 1 species